rnacentral:rRNA from 1 species
GUUGUUGCAGUUAAAGCUCGCUAGUUGAAUUUCGGGAUCAAUAUUUCGGUCAUGCCGUUGGUAUGCACUGUUAUCAUUGAUUUCUCACCUUCUAAAGAACCGUGAUGCCAUUAAUUUGGUGUUACGGGGAAUUAGGACUGUUACCUUGAAAAAAUUAGAGUGUUUAAAGCAGGCUCACGCUUGAAUACAUUAGCAUGGAAUAAUGAAAUAGGACAUCCGAU